UGGGCGAAGGGGUGCACAAAGGGGGGAGGGGGGAAUCUUAAUCGAAAUACUAAAAAAUGAAUAACGCUCAACUGUCAUGUCACUCCGAAGUUUCGACAGUCUCCGCUAGAGGCAUAGCAGAUCGCAUUUAGCGGAGGGUAGGUAAGCACCUAUACCCCUAGGAGCUUACCUACGGCAGAAAGCCGUAUUGACGCCCGGAAUUGUUGUCUUUCGUGAAGGACCUUUAGGAAAAAUGGUGCGAGGUGCACCAAAGGAAGAGUGGCACUCAUAACGCUCCACCGUUGUGGAUUUUCACAAUGCCUUUGGGACUUGCCAGACUAUGGUGAUGCUUGGCCGACCCUCCUCCACCCCUCCCGUUGCAUAUCCACCGCUGCAGUGAUGCACGCGCGCGUUGGCUCUCUGCUAAGUUAAUGUGGUGACGCUUGACUGACCCCCUACCCCCUUUUAAUGCUUGAGAUACCCUCUACUGCCCCGAGUGACCCUCUUAAAGUUUCACUUGUCCCCUCAAGUCACCCUCGUUACUGUUAUGAACCUUUACCAACUCCCUAAGGACCCUCGUAACGUUGAACCGGUGCCCUAGUGAAGUUUAACUCUUCCCCAGUUGACCUCAUCCUGCAUUUUUCAAAAUUAUUUCCCCCCUCCAAAUUCAGACUAAGAAAUUAGACCACUGUCAUUUAUCAAGAGUUUAACGAGUAAUUACGUGGCGUUGGUUUCAUUCCUUCAUCUUUAUUACCGGGCGAGAAAUGAAUUUGCUAAUCGUGGUGGGUUACUGCAUAGUCGAACUUGACACCAUAUAACUGGUUGACCUCAGACUGCAUUUUUGAAAAUUAAUUCAUCCCCUCCAAAUUGAAAUUAAGAAAUGAAACCUCCGUAAUGUAUCUUCAUCUCUAUGAGAGAAGGGAGAAGUCAAUCGUCCACUGCGAGGAGAGCACGUAACACAGACUUUAUUCAAUAACUUUUAAAUCUCAACUUGAGUCUUGAAAUAUUAAUAAACAUUCAGAAAAACUAACAAACAAAACUAGACUGUGAAAUUUGGCGAUUAAUUAUUUGAAGAGAGAAGCGGCACAGAAACAAGUUAAAAUCGAACUGAACUAACUUAACUAAUUUUCCAAGGGUUGGGUCCUACAACCCCCACUAGUCUAAAUGUUGCGCUCGCAACUUGGUCAAGAAAAGGGAAGAGGGGUAGAAUAAGGAAAGCGGUGAAAAGGAAAACGCGUGACAUCGCGUUUUCUCUGUGAAGGGACUCAGGCCCUCAGCUUUCGAUACAAUGGACAAAGAAGACUUGAAGUUGAAGAAGUUGAAUCAAAACAUGAGCAAAAACAGAACUGGUACUUUACGACGUACACUGUAUUGAUUCGAAGAUUUAUGAUUUCCUUCUCAAGUUUCAGGUUUGCAGAAAAUGUUGAUCCAACGAAUUUUACUGGUAAAUAAAUGGGAAAGUUAAACUCAAGAGGUUAAGAUUUAUGCGUAACGGUUUUUCCCACACUGGUGGUGUUGUUUUCAUUGUUCGUUGUCCAUUGUAUCUACUUAUUUUCUGCGUAUUUCGACACUGAUUAAAAAUAUAAAAAAUAAGAUUAAUGUAAAUUUCGCGGACUAAGAUUAAUCAUAUAUAGUGACAUCUACUGGCUAUCAAGCUCAGAACAUCACAGACAACCCAGUUGUUGCCGCGCCUAGGGAUAAGGCUCGGCUUGCCCCCACGACACUGUUGAUCGGAAAUCAACAAUAGGAUACAUUGUAAGACUGUUCGGGAAUUUAAUCCAUUGCAAAUCGCGUAAACAGAAGUCUGUGACAAAAUCCUCUAUCGAAGCUAAGUAUGUCGCGUUAUCGGAAGCGGUAACAGAAAUUAACUAUAUAAGAAGCUUACUUAACAAAAUAUUUAAAAUUGACUUUGUCAAGCCUACAAAAAUAUACGAAGACAAUUAAGGUGCUGUUCCUAUUGCUAGAAGUUGAAAUUUAUCAAAGAAAUCAAAGUACAUAAAAGUACAAUACAACGAUCUGCAUAAUUAUGGAAAAGAAUCAAACAUUGCUGAUAUUUUGGCGAAAGCUCGAUGUAAACCAAAGUGUGUUAAAUUAAGACAAGAAUCGAAAUUGAAGCAAAGUUAAGGGUCAGGAUGAAGACUAAGAAAAUACUAAUGUAAAAAGGCGUGUUAGAAUAGGACUACAUUUGUAUUUGGGUUUUCUGUUGGCAAAACGGUACUGUAUAACCUACCUCAACUGCCGCUGUAUAACUGCCUCAAAAUCGACAUCGUGGUAAUGUUGAAAAUACAGUGCUGGAUCGCAAUCUCCAUUUCAGCGUCAGAUCGAUACCGGCAUUAUGUCCGUAUUUAGAUACUGAAUUUUGUUGUUUCCAUAAACAUCUAAACGACAUCGCAAUUAUGUCGUUGGCCGAGUACAGGAUUUCGACUAUGACCAAGCAUCAAAACGAUACGGUGGCAACUUAGCAAUCCAAUAUCGAAUUCUAUACUGGAAAUCAGUAUCGUGACGGUGCCAAAGGAAUGGUCAUAUGUCUAUGCUAAAAUAUUUUGCUAUGCUAGAAUUUUUUUACGCCUAAUAUCUUUUAGAAUAUUCAAGAUAUCGAAAGAUUGCAAAAUAUUAAUUUUGAUGUAAAUUAAAUGUGCUAUAUUUCUGUCCCCCUUUUUGUUUGUAUGUUAUAUACUCUCCAUGUAAAUUGAAGAAAAAAGUGGAAAUUACUCGCUAAAUGGCAACAACAUUUUAUUUACGCAUAAAAAAAUUGAGAUUGGUUGUAAAAUUAUCAUAAAUUGGAAAAAUUAAACCUUAGAAAAAAAUAUUUGUGUAAAAAUA